GGCAGCACCAAAUAUUAACAAAGAUAUGGCCCAGCUGGAACUCUCAUUGAUUGCUCUAGGAUUCUAAAAUUUUAGAAAAUAUUUAGCUGUUUUUAUAAAACUCAACUCAACUGUCUACCUCAAAGUAUUUACUAUGAGAGAUGAGAACACCUAUGAACGCUUAUAUACAUGUAUAUUCAUAGCAGUCUUAUUCAUAAGUUUAAAGACUGGGAACAACCCAAAUGUCCAUCAAUAAGAAAAUGUGUACAUAAAUUUGGGUGUAUUUAUACAAAGGAAUAGUACUCAGGAGCAAAAAUAAAUGAGCUUCUGAUAACAUGAAAUAACAUGAAUAGAUGUCAAAAAGGGUAUAUUUGAACAAAAAAAAAUACUUAAAUACAGGCAUGAAAGAGUACAUACUGUAUAAUUCUGUUUAUAUGAAAUUCUAAAAAGUCAAAACUGGCCUAUACUGAUAGAGAAUAGAACAAUGGUUGCCUGAGGUAAAGGAUUAUCUGUAAAUAGACACAAGUGUACUUUUCAGCAGUAAUGAAAAUUUCUUGAUGGUGCUGGUGGCUGCCUGGGUGUAUACAUUGUCAAAGCUCAUUGAGCUGAUACACUUUAUUUUAUUUUUUUUUAAUUUUUUUUUUAACAUUUAUUUAUUUUUGAGACAGAGACAGAGCAUGAACGGGGCAGGGGCAGAGAGAGAGGGAGACACAGAAUCGGAAGCAGGCUCCAGGCUCAGAGCCUGACACGGGGCUCUAACUCACGGACCGCAAGAUCGUGACCUGAACUGAAGUCGGACGCUCAACCGACUGAGCCACCCAGGCGCCCCUGAUACACUUUAAAAGGGUGCAUUUUAUUAAAGACGUGUCAAGUAAGAAGUUGCUGCGGCCAAGGUCAAAGAGGUUGCUACCUGUGUUCUCCUGUAAGGAUUUUGAUGGUUUCCUGUCUCACAUUUAGGUCUUUCAGCCACUUUGAAUUUAUUUUUGUGAAGAGUACACUUAUCUUGAUAAGCAAUGACUAAUACAUGGAAUUCUUAAAUCACUAUACUGUACACCUGAAAGGAAUAUAAAAUUGUAUGUUAGCUAUACUGGAAUUGAGAUAAAAUGAAAUAAAUUCCUGUUCUCCUAUUUGCACCUUGAA